GGCUUAGAAGCAGCCAUCCUUCAAAGAAAGCGUAAUAGCUCACUGAUCGAGUCUUCCUGCGCGGAAGAUGUAACGGGGCUAAGUCAAUAACCGAAGCCGCGGAUUCACGAGUAAUCGUGAGUGGUAGGGGAGCGUUCUGUAAGCCUGCGAAGGUGGUUCGUAAGGACUGCUGGAGGUAUCAGAAGUGCGAAUGCUGACAUGAGUAACGUUAAAGCAGGUGAAAAGCCUGCUCGCCGUAAGCCCAAGGUUUCCUGCUCUACGUUCAUCGGAGCAGGGUGAGUCGGCCCCUAAGGCGAGGCUGAGAAGCGUAGCUGAUGGGAACAAGGUUAAUAUUCCUUGACCGCCGUUGAGUGCGAAGGGGGGA
rnacentral:rRNA from 1 species